ACCCUUAUUUUGCAUGCCAUAUCGCGGGCUCCUCCCACCCCCAGACGAUGGAGCGCCAUCUGAGACUGUGGGUCGUGUGGAUGGCGAGGACUUCGUGGACUAUCCCGGAGUGUAGAGAGUAGCGCUUGUUAGGCUACAUUUUGGUAGGCUUAGGGCUUAGGUUAUAUUUUGGGAUGACUGUAUGUUUUAUACAUUAUACUCAGACAUGUUAGUGCCGUUGGGCCUUGUGAUAUAUUCGGUUCAUGACUCGUAUCUUUUUGGUUGAUGAACUUGCUAUAUCCGUUGUAUGUAAAUUAUUCAGGAACACACUUUGCUUCGAGGAAGCCCUGUAAUAUAAUGUGUUGAUGUUAUAUUUAUUUUCUAUUGAAUGACGAAUUGCCGAGAUAGCUGCGGGCGUUCACGCGCGCCAUUUUAUUUAAGCGUGUUGAUUUAAAAAUAAAAUAAAAAUAAUACCCCUUUUUAUGCUUUGAAAAAUGGGGUGUUACAUUCUCUCAAGCCAAUGAGAGAACCUAAGCUAACCUAAUAAC
rnacentral:lncRNA from 1 species